UCAGGACGAACGCUGGCGGCGUGCCUAAUACAUGCAAGUCGAACGAACGGAGGAAGAGCUUGCUCUUCCAAAGUUAGUGGCGGACGGGUGAGUAACACGUGGGCAACCUGCCUGUAAGUUGGGGAUAACUCCGGGAAACCGGGGCUAAUACCGAAUGAUAGARUGUGGCGCAUGCCACGCYUUUGAAAGAUGGUUUCGGCUAUCGCUUACAGAUGGGCCCGCGGUGCAUUAGCUAGUUGGUAGGGUAAUGGCCUACCAAGGCAACGAUGCAUAGCCGACCUGAGAGGGUGAUCGGCCACACUGGGACUGAGACACGGCCCAGACUCCUACGGGAGGCAGCAGUAGGGAAUCUUCCGCAAUGGACGAAAGUCUGACGGAGCAACGCCGCGUGUAUGAAGAAGGUUUUCGGAUCGUAAAGUACUGUUGUUAGAGAAGAACAAGGAUAAGAGUAACUGCUUGUCCCUUGACGGUAUCUAACCAGAAAGCCACGGCUAACUAC
rnacentral:rRNA from 1 species